rnacentral:rRNA from 2 species
GGAAGCGGCGGACGGGUGAGUAACGCGUGGGUAACCUGCCCUAUGCAGGGGGAUGACACAUUGAAAAGUGUGCUAAUACCGCAUAAGACCACAGAGUCGCAUGACUUGGUGGUAAAAACUCCGGUAGCAUAGGAUGGACCCGCGUGUGAUUAGCUAGUAGGUAAGGUAACGGCUUACCUAGGCGACGAUCAGUAGCCGACCUGAGAGGGUGAUCGGCCACAUUGGGACUGAGACACGGCCCAAACUCCUACGGGAGGCAGCAGUGGGGAAUAUUGCACAAUGGGGGAAACCCUGAUGCAGCGACGCCGCGUGAAGGAAGAAGGUUUUCGGAUCGUAAACUUCUAUCAGCAGGGAAGAUAGUGACAGUACCUGACUAAGAAGCCCCGGCUAACUACGUGCCAGCAGCCGCGGUAAUACGUAGGGGGCAAGCGUUAUCCGGAUUUACUGGGUGUAAAGGGUGCGUAGGCGGCGAAGUAAGUCAGAUGUGAAAGCCCGAGGCUCAACCUCGGGACUGCAUUUGAAACUGCUUUGCUAGAGUGCAGGAGAGGAAAGCGGAAUUCCUAGUGUAGCGGGAAAUGCGUAGAUAUUAGGAGGAACACCAGUGGCGAAGGCGGCUUUCUGGACUGUAACUGACGCUGAGGCACGAAAGCGUGGGGAGCGAACAGGAUUAGAUACCCUGGAGCCACGCCGUAAACGAUGAAUGCUAGUGUCGGGGUCGAACCUCGGUGCCGCAGCAAACGCAUUAAGCAUUCCACCUGGGGAGUACGAUCGCAAGAUUGAAACUCAAAGGAAUUGACGGGGGGCCCGCACAAGCGGCGGAGCAUGUGGUUAAUUCGAAGCAACGCGAAGAACCUUACCAAAUCUUGACAUCCUUCUGACC